AGCCGGAAGUUGGUGUUGCAUAUUAAUAUUAAGCGGUUCAAUUUGGUGAGAUGAAAGGGCCACAUAAUUCCAAUCAUGACAUUUCUUCAUUUAAUGUAUAUGUCAAAAAAUUGAGAAAGCAUUCAUACACAACUAUUUUUACAUCAGCCUAAUCAUACUAUUUACGAAUGUAGAACAAUGUUGGUUGGGUAUGAAAAUUUGGGUGGACUAUACUAUUUUGAUAUAGUAUAGUAUGUCAUGUUUUUAUGUAACUAUGGUUUCAGUCCGUCCACUUAAAUUACACCUAUCGCUAAGGUUGAGUCUUAAGGAAAUUCAUUUAUAAGUCAAGGAAAGAGAAGACAUAUUUGCACAUCGGGAUAAUCAUACUAUUUAUGGACGCAUAUUGUAUAUACUACCAUGAUUUGUAUACCUAAACAUGUAAAACACUCAAUCGCCAUUGCAACAUCAUUCAUACCGUUUCAUAUAAUUGGAACACUUAUUUAGCACGGUCCCAAAACACUAUCUUUCUUAAUCGUCUUCUUAAGCAUGAGUACAUACAUGCAUUUUUAUAUUAAGUUCAUGUGGAGAC
rnacentral:lncRNA from 1 species